rnacentral:rRNA from 1 species
UACAGAGGGGGCAAGCGUUAUUCGGAAUUAUUGGGCGUAAAGGGCGCGUAGGCGGCUUUGCAAGUGACGGGUGAAAUCCCUCGGCUCAACCGAGGAACUGCGACGGAUACUGCUUGGCUUGAGUCCCGGAGAGGGUAGCGGAAUUCCCAGUGUAGCGGUGAAAUGCGUAGAUAUUGGGAGGAACAUCGGUGGCGAAGGCGGCUACCUGGAACGCAACUGACGCUGAGACGCGAAAGCGUGGGGAGCAAACAGG